rnacentral:rRNA from 1 species
CCUACCAUGGUGGUAACGGGUAACGGGGUGUUAGGGCACGACACCGGAGAGGGAGCCUGAGAAACGGCUACCACAUCCAAGGAUGGCAGCAGGCGCGCAAAUUACCCAAUCCCGACACGGGGAGGUAGUGACAAUAAAUAACAAUACGGGGUUCUUUCGGAUCUCGUAAUUGGAAUGAGUACAAUUUAAAUCUCUUAACGAGGAACAAUUGGAGGGCAAGUCUGGUGCCAGCAGCCGCGGUAAUUCCAGCUCCAAUAGCGUAUAUUAAAGUUGUUGCAGUUAAAAAGCUCGUAGUUGAACUUCGGGAUCAAUGGAUUGGUCAUGCCGUUGGUAUGUACUGGUCACAUUGGUUCUCACCUUCUAAGGAACCAUGAUGUCAUUCAUUUGAUGUUGUGGGGAAUUAGGACUGUUACCUUGAAAAAAUUAGAGUGUUUAAAGCAGGCUAACGCUUGAAUACAUUAGCAUGGAAUAAUGAAAUAGGACAUCGCAUUCUAUUUUGUUGGUUUCUAGGAUCGAUGUAAUGAUUAAUAGGGAUAGUUGGGGGCAUUAGUAUUCAAUUGUCAGAGGUGAAAUUCUUGGAUUUAUUGAAGACUAACUACUGCGAAAGCAUUUGCCAAGGAUGUUUUCAUUAAUCAAGAACGAAAGUUAGGGGAUCGAAGACGAUCAGAUACCGUCGUAGUCUUAACCAUAAACUAUGCCGACUAGGGAUCGGAUGAUGUUAAUUUUUUAAUGACUCAUUC